rfam:Oryza rufipogon genomic scaffold, chr11
AAAGACUCGAUUCCUAGGUUUCCGUGUCUAACGUUUGACUAUCCGUCUUAUAUGAAAUUUUUUUAUAAUUAGUAUUUUCAUUGUUGUUAGAUGAUAAAACAUGAAUAAGACUUUAUGCGUGACUUAUCUUUUUAAAUUUUUUCAUAAUUUUUUUAAAUAAGACGGACGGUCAAAUGUUGGACACGGAAACUCAGGAAUUGAGUUAUU